AGGGCGUUUUUUUAGUGUUUGUGUUCUUCUGACAUCGACGUAAUGAUUAAUAGGGGCAGUCGGGGGCAUGAGUAUUCAAAUGUCAGAGGUCAAAUUGUUGGAUCUAUUGAAGACUAACUACUGCGAAAGCAUUUGCCAAGGAUGUUUUCAUUGAUAAGGAACGAAAGUUAGGGGAUCGAAGACGAUCAGAUACCGUCGUAGUCUUAACUAUAAACUAUGCCGACUAGGGAUCGGACGAUGUUAUUCUUUGACGCGUUCGGCACCUUUCGAGAAAUCAAAGUGCUUGGGCUCCAGGGGGAGUAUGGUCGCAAGGCUGAAACUUAAAGAAAUUGACGGAAGGGCACCACCAGGGGUGGAACCUGCGGCUUAAUUUGACUCAACACGGGGAAACUCACCAGGUCCAGACACAGUGAG
rnacentral:rRNA from 1 species